rnacentral:rRNA from 1 species
GACGAACGCUGGCGGCGUGCUUAACACAUGCAAGUCGAGCGGUAAGGCCCUUUCGGGGGUACACGAGCGGCGAACGGGUGAGUAACACGUGGGUGACCUGCCCUCAGCUCUGGGAUAAGCCUGGGAAACCGGGUCUAAUACCGGAUAUGACUCCAUGGCGCAUGUUGUGGGGUGGAAAGCCUUGUGCGGCUGAGGAUGGGCCCGCGGCCUAUCAGCUUGUUGGUGGGGUGAUGGCCACCAAGGCGACGACGGGUAGCCGGCCUGAGAGGGCGACCGGCCACACUGGGACUGAGACACGGCCCAGACUCCUACGGGAGGCAGCAGUGGGGAAUCUUGCGCAAUGGGCGAAAGCCUGACGCAGCGACGCCGCGUGAGGGAUGACGGCCUC